UUCCUGCUUGUCACACAUUCCACACUUCUACACUGAAGUCAAAUAUUUUUUCAGUUUAUGGAUUUUUUCCCCCUUCUAUUAGUGCCUGUAUUAGUUUUCAAAGGCUGCUUGAAGAAAUUUGAAUACGUGAAAAUGUAUUUCUGCAAGCUAGAAGACAGAAGUUUGAAAGGCUAGAGAUGGAAUCGGAGCUGCAGCUGCCAGCCUGUGCCAUAGCCACAGCAAUGCUAGAUGAGCUGCAUCUGUGACCUGUGCCACAGCUUGCUGCAACACUGAAUACUUAACCCACUGAGUGAGACCAGGGAUUGAACCUGCAUCCUUGAGGACACUAUGUUGGGUUCUUAACCUGCUCAGCCACAACGUGAACUCCACCAAUGACUGAAUCCAGCUUGCCUCCAUGAGCCUUGGCUACAUUGCUGUCCUGGCUUGAAAUGCGGGUGUGUGAUAGGAAUGUCGUCAUCACCAAGAACAUGAGGAAAAUAAACAUAAAGGUUUCCCCUUUCCCAGCCUCUCGUGGACCAGCGUUACCAGCUGAAGGAAGGUUGUGAAUCUGCAUCCCAGCCCAUUAGUCCUUCUCCUGAUUCCCGUGAUGAGUUCACCAGUGCAGCCUGGUCAGUUUGGUUGUUUCUUAAGCUAUUAACAGAUGUAAUAUGAAAGAUGUUGCUUUGUGUUGCUUCAAACCAAGCAAUUUAACUUAUGAAAGGACUUUUUAUUCUGAUGAGGAUGUGUGGAUACAAUGAAUUUUGAAUUUUGUGUUCUAUAGCUAAUCCUUUGUUAUGUAACCAUCUUGCUUUCCAGGCAAUUAAUUUCAUUUGAAUUAUUAUCUGAGCACUGGGCUUUAGUUCUUCUGCUAAUGUAACAUUUGGAUUGAAUUUUAUGAAGUUAUAAAUAUUUAUUAAAUAUGUUGUAGGCAUCUAAUUCAUAUCCAUAGUCUUUCUGAGUCCGUGUCUGUAUGUUUUAAAUUGUGUCAUAGGCUUUGGAUAUCAGCUUGUGGACUCAUUUUCCUCCUCCUUCUCUUUGACACACAGGAAGGAUAUUUCUCCUCCCUGCCCUUCUUUGCUGCCACUCCUGUUUCCUACAUACAUGUUUAAUUAUAAUCUCAGCACCUGCUUCCUCUGAGUCCAGUGUAAUGUGUGGCUCAUGUAGUGUUGUGAUAAGCACAGCCAACACCCAUUUCUCCAGGAACAGGGUGUCACUUUGGGAACAAACACAAUCCAAGUCUUAAAAAUGAUGGAGUAGUUUCAGAUAUCAUAUGUUAAACAUAGAGAAAUUUAAAAAGAAUUUUCUGUUUGAAUCAUUGUAGGAGUAUUUAUUUCUAUAUAUUCUUUAAAAAAAAAUCUCUCAGCACGUUGGUAUCUUUGAGUUAUCCAACUCCUGAGGUUGAAGCUAAUGUAAUAUUUUAUUCAGAGUUUAUAAAGGGAAAUCUUUUGCCAAGAUUUUCAGUCUGUGGAGUGCCACACCCAGAUCAGCUGCUCUGGAAUUCCAAUGUCUCAUCAACCUUUCCCAGAGCCCCAACAGGCUGCCAGCUUGUAUGUUGAAUUUGGAACUGAAAGGUUUUGGCGCGUACAACUGUAAUUGUUGAUUCUAAAUGAUGUAGUAAAGAUAUUCCAGAAUCUUUCUUCACAAUCAUGAUUUAUAAUUGGCGUUGUCAUCUGAAUAAGCACAUGAAGAGUUACACAGGCCUCUUAUCUCUGAGUCCUUGCAGUGCAGUGUUUCUCCAACUUUAGCAUCACU
ensembl:lncRNA